ACGGAAGGCAGCAGUGAGGAAUAUUGGUCAAUGGGCGGAAGCCUGAACCAGCCAAGUAGCGUGAAGGAUGACGGCCCUACGGGUUGUAAACUUCUUUUGCCGGGGGAUAAAAAACGGGACGCGUCCCGUCUUGCAGGUACCCGUGCGAAUAAGGACCGGCUAAUUCCGUGCCAGCAGCCGCGGUAAUACGGAAGGUCCGGGCGUUAUCCGGAUUUAUUGGGUUUAAAGGGAGCGCAGGCUGUCCUUUAAGCGUGCUGUGAAAUGUAGGCGCUCAACGUCUGCACUGCAGCGCGAACUGGAGGACUUGAGUACGCGGGAAGUAGGCGGAAUUCGUCGUGUAGCGGUGAAAUGCUUAGAUAUGACGAAGAACUCCGAUUGCGAAGGCAGCUUACUGUAGCGCCACUGACGCUAAAGCUCGAAAGUGCGGGUAUCGAACAGGAUUAGAUACCCUGGUA
rnacentral:rRNA from 1 species